rnacentral:rRNA from 1 species
GACGAACGCUGGCGGCGUGCUUAACACAUGCAAGUCGAACGGAAAGGCCCUGCUUUUGUGGGGUGCUCGAGUGGCGAACGGGUGAGUAACACGUGAGUAACCUGCCCUUGACUUUGGGAUAACUUCAGGAAACUGGGGCUAAUACCGGAUAGGAGCUCCUGCUGCAUGGUGGGGGUUGGAAAGUUUCGGCGGUUGGGGAUGGACUCGCGGCUUAUCAGCUUGUUGGUGGGGUAGUGGCUUACCAAGGCUUUGACGGGUAGCCGGCCUGAGAGGGUGACCGGCCACAUUGGGACUGAGAUACGGCCCAGACUCCUACGGGAGGCAGCAGUGGGGAAUAUUGCACAAUGGGCGGAAGCCUGAUGCAGCAACGCCGCGUGCGGGAUGACGGCCUUCGGGUUGUAAACCGCUUUCGCCUGUGACGAGCGUGAGUGACGGUAAUGGGUAAAGAAGCACCGGCUAACUACGUG